rnacentral:rRNA from 1 species
GACAGAGGGUGCAAACGGUUGCUCGGAAUUACCGGGCGUAAAGCGCGUGUAGGCGGACCACCAAGUCGGACGUGGAAAGCCCUGAAGCUCAACUCAGGAACUGCAUCCGAAACUGGCGGUCUGGAGUAGUGGAGAGGAAAGCAGAAUUCCUGGUGUAGAGGUGAAAUUCGUAGAUAUCUGGAAGGAACACCGGUGGCGAAGGCGGCAUCCU